UAUCGUGCAUAUAUCUACCACA
rnacentral:miRNA from 2 species